AUUGAACGCUGGCGGCAGGCCUAACACAUGCAAGUCGAACGGGAACAGCUAAAAGCUUUCCUCUUUGCUUGCGGGUGGCGGACGGGGGGGCAGUGUCGGGGGAAAUGCGUGGUGAAGGGGGAUAACUACUGGGGAUGGUAGCUGGUACCGCAUAACGUCGCAAGACCAGAAAGCGGGACGUUUGGGCAGCUUUCCAUCGGAGGUGCCCACAUGGGAUUAGCUAGUAGGUGGGGUAACGGCUCACCUAGGCGACGAUGCAUAGCUGGUUUGAGAGGAUGACCAGCCACACUGGAACUGAGACACGGUCCAGACUCCUACGGGAGGCAGCAGUGGGGAAUAUUGCACAAUGGGCGCAAGCCUGAUGCAGCCAUGCCGCGUGUAUGAAGAAGGCCUUCGGGUUGUAAAGUACUUUUGGCGGGGAAGAAGGGAGUAAAGUUAAUACCGUUGCUAAUUGACGUUACCCAAAGAAGAAGCACCGGCUAACUCCGUG
rnacentral:rRNA from 1 species